GGGUUUGCCUGUGUAAUAUCCCUGGCCUUCCUGGAACUCACUCUGUUGACCAGUCUGGCUUCGAACUCACGAAGAUCAGAUGCCUCUGCCUCCCGAGUGCUGGAAUUAAAGAUUCAGUCAUGGAACCAGGUGCUUCUGACAGAAUUUCCCAAGUCUCCUGAUGUUGCCUAAAUCCCCUCGUCAUCCUGGACUCUGAGGAAUAUUCCAGCCUAUCUGGGCCCUUGGAAGACCCCACUCAACUUUGAAGCAGUUACAGAAGAGAGAGACUAACUACAUCACCCUUAUCAUCAAUAAGAGGCUAGAAGGUCAGGUCUCAGAUAGUAUAUAUGUCCAGAAAUGAACUCAAGCUGGACUAUAGAAGUAUCUGUGGCAGGUAGAUAAAAGCCAGCAUGGUAUGGGAGGUCCUUCUGUCUAUGUGUUGCUUUUAUUGGUUAAUGAAUAAAGAAAGUGCUUUGGACCUAUAGCAAGGCAGAACUUAGGUAGGCAGGAAAAGCUAGGCUGAAUGCUGUGAGAAAAGAAGAAUGGAGUCAAAGAGAAGCCAUGAAGCUGCCACCAGAUUUAGACAUGCCGAAACUUUGCUGGUUUUCAAGUCCUGAACAGACUUGGUCCCUUUGCCCUUCCAACUUUAUUUCCAGCUGCUGGGCAUUAGUCAUAUCAAGCGCUCCUCUGUGAGGUGUGUGUCCUCACCUGUCUUCCUCAAGUGUGGUCUGAUCUCCUACUGAGCACUAUAGACCAUUCUGGAAACUGUCUCCGCCUUCCUCAUUUAUCCUGCAGAACAAUCCUGAAGGGCGUCCCCCAAAUCACUCGAAGAUUUCGCCUUUAGCUGAACCUGUGCCAAGUUUGGAGGGGAUCAAACAGGAGAGUGGACCAUGUGGCUGUUCUCCCUGGCGUGGGAACUUUUUCCUUUCCCGUUUUCUGGCUGGACAGAAAUGAAGUAAAAAAUAUUGAAUUAAAAGGGCUUAGAUUUAACAAUUCAAGCAAAAAGUGGCGAAUGGGACAUAUCAAUGGGACAUACGAAGACUCGUCCUCAAAAUUACCCAUAUUUAUCUGAUGUUCAAAUCGAACUGGGAGUUCUCAGUCUUCUCUGGCAUCCUGGCACUGAAGAAGGUGUGGCUGCGGAAGCACAACGACCUGGGAUCCCUAAACAGAUGCUCUCAAGGUCCAAAAACCCAGGGGACAGGAGAGGAUGCAACAACAAGUGGACUAGUCUUCCACACAAGUUCGGCCUACUGCAGAGAGGAUCCAUGUUGGAGGGGCUGGAAGGUGAAGGCAAGCGGGAUAAAGGGUGGGCAGAUGACGACAACAUGGACGGACGGACGGACGGACGGACGGACUUAGGUCCCUCUUGUUCUUCCUACAGGUUCUCUCUGCAGCUCCUUCUUCCCCCCACCCCCAGUUCCUCCCGCUCUCUUUGCUUCCCUCCUCAUCCCCACGAUUCUCUUCCUCCAGAAGAAAACUCUUUGCUCUGUAGUUUUCCUGGGCCGAAGUGUACGCGUGAGUGAAGGGCUGGGCCUGGAAGGUCGGAAGGAACGAGACGCUUCACCCAGGGCACGGUCCUUAAGAACCCUAGCGGGACUUUCCUGCCCUGUGGUCUUGCCUCCACCAAGCCAUCGCGCUGAGGCUUCUCAAGGCUUUAAUAAAAUGCGGAGCAGAGCCGGGCUGUACAAGAUUCCUGUAUAGCAGGCAUGAGGCCUCUUCCUACUUGGCUUCUCUCCUCUCUCUCUCCCUCCCUCCCUCCCUCGCUCUCUCUAUCCCUCCUUCCCCCACUCUUUCGUCUCCAUCUGUCGGUUCUACCCCUCACCAUGGGAACAAACUCCUGGAAUUUCUUUAAAGCUCUUUUUAAAGAUGUUUAUUUAGAUUUGCUUAUUCUCUCUCUCUCUCUCUCUCUCUCUCUCUCUCUCUCUCUCU